GGACAUGAAGGAGACCUGAUGGCUAUGUCUGUCACCCCAGUGACCCCAGGGUUGAUUCGGCUGAUCUGCCUGGCUAGGCAGGUAUCCCCUUCCUACAUCACCGCUCCAUGUGAAGUCUUUCUGAAGCUGUGAGGUAGGUCGAAGAGGGAGGCCUUCCCCAACAGAGUCAUACCAUUCUUCAGUCAAGGGUAUACAAGUAGCUAUACUCCCCUGCUAGAACAAGGUCUCAGUUGCAACAGGAAAGAACAAGUAAGAAAAGAGGACAAGCUUAAGGUUAAGGUGAAUUCUGGGAAUUC
rnacentral:snRNA from 1 species